rnacentral:rRNA from 1 species
GAUGAACGCUAGCUACAGGCUUAACACAUGCAGGUCGAGGGGCAGCACUAGGUAGCAAUACUGAGGUGGCGACCGGCGCACGGGUGCGUAACGCGUAUCCAACCUUCCCGAUACUCUUGGAUAGCCUUCCGAAAGGGAGAUUAAUACAAGAUGGUGUUUCAAUUCCGCAUGUUAUUGAAACUAAAGAUUUAUCGGUAUCGGAUGGGGAUGCGUGACAUUAGAUAGUAGGCGGGUAACGGCCACCUAGUCUACGAUGUCUAGGGGUUCUGAGAGGAAGGUCCCCCACACUGGAACUGAGACACGGUCCAGACUCCUACGGGAGGCAGCAGUGAGGAAUAUGGUCAAUGGUCGGAAGACUGAACCAGCCAAGUAGCGUGAAGGAUGAAGGUUCUAUGGAUUGUAAACUUCUUUUAUACGGGAAUAAAAACACCUUACGUGUAGGGUCUUGUAUGUACCGUAUGAAUAAGCAUCGGCUAAACUCCGUGCCAGCAGCCG